AAGUUUUAGGCCAGUUCCAUCUUUCAUUGUUAAUAAUUCUUGAAUUACUCCUUUUCCAAAUGUUGUCGUUCCUACAAUUUUAGCAACAUUAUUAUCUUUUAAUGCUCCUGCCAAUAUUUCUGAUGCACUAGCUGUAUUUUCAUUUGUUAAAACUAUUAUAGGUAAUUCAAUUGCUUUAUCUCUUUUAGCUUUUGAAACGCUUUCAUUGUCGUGUUUAUCUUUAGUUAUUAAUAGUGUACUAUCUUUGCUAGUAAAUAGAUCUGCUAUUUCUAUAGCUUCAUCUACAAUACCUCCACCAUUAUUUCUUA
rnacentral:ncRNA from 1 species